rnacentral:rRNA from 1 species
GGGUACUGCGGAGGGAUCAUUACACAACAAAAUAUGAAGGCCUGGCUUCGCGGCCGGCUGAAAUAUUUUUUUCACCCAUGUCUUUUGCGCACUUGUUGUUUCCUGGGCGGGUUCGCCCGCCACCAGGACCAAACCAUAAACCUUUUUUUUAUGCAGUUGCAAUCAGCGUCAGUAAAAACAAUGUAAUUAUUACAACUUUCAACAACGGAUCUCUUGGUUCUGGCAUCGAUGAAGAACGCAGCGAAAUGCGAUACGUAGUGUGAAUUGCAGAAUUCAGUGAAUCAUCGAAUCUUUGAACGCACAUUGCGCCCUUUGGUAUUCCAAAGGGCAUGCCUGUUCGAGCGUCAUUUGUACCUUCAAGCUUUGCUUGGUGUUGGGCGUUUUUUGUCUCCCUCUUUCUGGGAGACUCGCCUUAAAACGAUUGGCAGCCGGCCUACUGGUUUCGGAGCGCAGCACAUAUUUUGCGCUUUGUAUCAGGAGAAAAGGACGGUAAUCCAUCAAGACUCUACAUUUUUAACUUUUGACCUCGGAUCAGGUAGGAUACCGCUGAACAUAUAAGG